GCCUCAAGCCUUUUAAUCCUAAGACCUAACAGCUGGGCAGCGCCCCGGAAAAGCAGCACUGUGGGCCCCGUGGGCCCUGGGGUGCUCAGAGGGGGCUUCCCAGAGGCUCCUGAGGACCAGACUCAGGGGGCGUUUUCACAGCAGGCCUUGCUCUCGCAUGGGCAAUCCCACCCGUCCACAUGCCCUUGGGGACUGGCCUCAGUGCCGGGCUCCCCAGGGGACUCCCUUCCUCCAGGAACUCCUCCUCCUUGUGCUCCCAUUAAACCCAGAUUCCCAUUAAACUCCUAUUUUAAACCCUCUGGCCUCCUCCAGGCAGCCUACCUGCACCACUGUGCCUCCCUGAGCCAUCUGGCCCUCCACCCCAGUGCCCUGAAAUCAGCAUCUCUGCCCUCUGUGUGGCUGGGUGACUUCUCUGGUCUUCUUUUGUCUUUUUCUUCUGUGUGUGUGAGCAUCAUGUUUAUUUCUUUUCUUUUGUUUUCUUUUCUUUUUUCUCUUUUUUUUUUUUUUUUUUUUUGUGACAGCGACAGCAUCUUGCUCUGUUGCCCAGGCUGGAGUGCAGUGACAUGAUCAUGGCUUAUUGCAGCCUCUGCCUCCCGGGCUAAAGCGAUCCCCCUGCUUCAGCAUCCUGAGUAGCUGGGACCACAAGCGUGUAGCACCACACCCGGCUAAUGUUUUAAAUUUUUAGAGAUGAGGUGUGCUAUGUUGCCCUAGCUGGUCUUGAACUCCUGGGCUCAAGUGAUCCUCACACCUUGGCCUCCCAAAGUGCUGGGAUUACCAAUGUGAGCCACCACACCCAGCCCUGCUCAUAGCUUUAACCACCAUCUAGGUCAGUUGCUGUCCAAUAAAAACAGAAUGCAAACCUCCAAGCAAUUUAAAAUUGUUUUGGUAGCCACAUUUUUAAAAAGAGAAAUGAAUUCAAAUACUCUAACCGAGUACAAUGUAUCCAAAAUAUUAUCGUUCCAACUUGUGAUCAAUAUAUAAAAUCACUAAUGAGCCAUUUUGCUUUUUUUUUAAUCCAAGCCUUUGAAAUCUGACUUGUAUUUUACAUCUGGCGACACAUCUCAAUCAGACUAACAGCAGUUCAAGAGCUUGGUAAUCACCCGUGGCUGGCAGCUGCUGUAUUGAGCAGCAAGAGAAUCUAUCUUGACCAUUCUAUUGGCGUCAUCUCCAGCCCAGCUCCCCCUUCUCACAUCUGGAGGCACGUGUACUUACUCCUACUCCGCAUCUCCUUUUGGCAGUCUAAUAGGCAUCUCAGACGCCAACCUCCAAAGCUGAGCUCCUGAUCUUUCCUCCACCACCCACCCCCCAUCCAAUUUCCAUGAUUGCUGCUCUAGAUUCAAAAUACACCCAGAGGCCGGGCACGGUGGCUCAUGCCUGUAAUCCCACCACCUUGGGAGGCCCAGGCGGGUGGAUUACCUGAGGUCAGGAGUUCAAGAACAGCCUGGCCAACAUGGUGAAACCCUGUCUCUACUAAAAAUACAAAAAGCUCAGCGUGGUGACGGGUGCCUGUAAUUCCAGGUACUCGGGAGGCUGACGCAGCAGAAUCACUUGAACCCGUGAAGUGGAGGUUGCAGUGAGCCAAGAUUGCCCCAUUGCCCUCCAGCCUGGGUGACAAGAGUGAAACUCUGACUCAAACAAACAAACAAAGAAACAAACAAAAAACCCAAAAUACAUCCAGAAUGCGACCACUUCCCACCUCCUCCACUGCUGCCACUAUGGCCUACGCCACCAACACCUCCCCUCUGGAUACCUGCAAUCACUUCCUCCCUGGUCUCUCCACUUCCACUCUCGCCCUUGCCCCUAUAAUCUGUGCUCCACCCAGAUCCCAGAGUGGUCCAGUUAAAGGCUAAAUUGAUUGCUGCGCCGAGCGCCGGCAAGGUGGGUCACGCCUGUAAACCACCUUACAGGCCGAGGUGGGUGGAUCACUUGAGGCCAGGAGUUUGACACCAGCCUGGCCAACAUGGUGAAAACCCCCAACCCCUCCACUCCAUCUGUGCUAAACUACAAAAAUUAGCCAGGCACGGUGGCGAGGGCCUAUAAUCCCAGGUAUUCAGGUGGCUGGGAUACCAGAAUUGCUUGAACCCAGGAGGCGAAGGUUGCAGUGAGCCGAGAUCGCACCAUUGCGCUCCAGCCUGGGUGACAGAGGUAAGCCUGUCUCAAAAUAAAAAAAUAAAUAGGCUCCUGUCACACCUCUGCUCACAACCCUCCAAUACCUCCCAUGUCCUUUAGCAUGAGAGCUAAAAUCCACACAUUAGAGCUCAAAAAUAGUAGCCCAGACAAACAGACGUGUUCCUGCCUCAGGGCCUUUGCACUGUCUGUUCUGGGCUUUCCCACAGCUAUCUACAAGGUCUUCCUUAUUAAUAUGGACAUUUCUGUUCCCACCUUCCUACC
rnacentral:lncRNA from 1 species